rnacentral:lncRNA from 10 species
GUCGGCUGCGGUGGCGGCGUUUGGAUGAUUGUCUCUCGGCGGCGGAGUCGGUAACACUGUGGUGACACUAUCUCUGUCAUGCAUCAAACUUAUAAAAUUGGCUGGGCAUGGUGGUGCAUGCCUGUAAUCCCAGCUACUUGGAAGGCUGAGGCUGGAGAAUCACUUGAAUCCAGGAGACGGAGGUUGCAGUGAGCAGAGAUUGCACCACUGCACUCCAGACUGGGCAACACGGCAAGACUCCGUCUCCAUAGAAACAAAAAAACAAAACUUACAUAUGUGUAUAAGCCUGUGUCAGGAUUCUGUACUUUUCCUUUUAUCUACAGUUUGCAUAUUUAUAUUUCUUCAGUAAUAUAUGCUGUUUCAAGUACUACAGCUUUAUAUUAAGCCUUAUUGUCUGGUAGAACAAAACUUUCCACAUCUAAAAAGUUUUCUUAACUAUUAUUUUUCUCAUUCAUUUGAAUUUUAGAGUAUGCUUAUCAAGCUCUAUGAAAAAUUACAUUGUAGUUGGCUGGGAUUUUGUUGACUUUGCAUGUUAAUUUAGAAAAAACUGACAUCUUGAAGGAGUGUUUUCCCAUACAAAAUGUAUUUAUAUCUGUUAUGUCUUUAGGCAGAGUUUUCUAUUUAUCCACUAAGGUCUUGUACAUUUUUUAUUGGCUUUAUUUCUGAGUACUUUAUAUUUUUGUUGCUAUUGUUUUAAUUCAUUUUCUGAUUGGUUGCUAUUGUGUUGGAAAGUUAUUGAGUAUAUAUUGAUUAUAUAUUCAAUCUCCUGAAUGUCUUAUGACGUUCUGUUUUUUUGGUUCAUUCUGUUUAAUUUUUUAGGUGAUGUUUCAUAUCAUUCAUGCGUAUAUUUGCUUUGCAUCUUUCUUGUCUAUUUUCUGCAUUUUUUUUUCUGGUCUAAUUACAUUGUCUAGGAUUACAAUGUUUGUUCCUAUUUUUAAUUGCAAAGGUUUUUAUGUCUUUACCAUUUAGUGUCACGUCUGUUGGAGAUUUCUUUCGUCUAUUCUGCAUGUCAGUUUAAGGAUGUCUCUAUUCCUGGAUUGUUAAGAGUGUGCACAAAAAGAAGAUAUAGUUAUUUAAUUUUAAGAGAAUACCAAUACUGUAAAUAGCUUUAUGCCAAUAAAUAUGAAAAGCUGGAUGAAU